UGAUCCCAGUCAAUGGUCACUGUACUUAAAAUACACAGAGACUAGAGGACUUGUUCUUCCUGGAACCUCUCUAUGCACCAGGCUGUCUCAUGAAGUUGAAUGCUCAAACAAUAUGAAGAGGAAGAAAAUUUAGUUGACAUUCAAAACAGGAAAUAUGAUCAGGUUAUAGAACAAUCUCUGAAAACUGGUCAAGUAAAGAGUUAGAGCGGUUGUAGAUGCAUGCACAGAAAAUGAAGAAAAAACUCUACUGAAACCACGGCUUUUAAAUCAACAUAAUA